UCCGUAGGCGGGCAAUUAAGUCAGAGGUGAAAUCCGACAGCUCAACUGUGGAACUGCCUUUGAUACUGGUUGUCUUGAGUUAUAGUGAAGUAGAUAGAAUAUGUAGUGUAGCGGUGAAAUGCAUAGAUAUUACAUAGAAUACCGAUUGCGAAGGCAGUCUACUAACUGUACACUGACGCUAAUGGACGAAAGCGUGGGGAGCGAACAGGAUUAGAUACCCUGGUAGUCC
rnacentral:rRNA from 1 species